rnacentral:rRNA from 1 species
AACGAACGCUGGCGGCAUGCCUAACACAUGCAAGUCGAACGAGACCUUCGGGUCUAGUGGCGCACGGGUGCGUCACGCGUGGGAACCUGCCCUUAGGUUUGGCAUAACUCUCCGACAGGGGUGCUAAUACCGGAUAAUGUCUUCGGACCAAAGAUUUAUCGCCUUUGGAUGGGCCCGCGUUGAAUUAGCUAGUUGGUAGGGUAAUAGCCUACCAAGGCGACGAUCCAUAGCUGGUCUGAGAGGAUGCUCAGCCACACUGGGAGUAAGACACGGCCGAGACUCCUACGGGAGGCAGCAGUGGGGAAUAGUGGACAAUGGGCGAAAGCCUGAUCCAGCAAGGCCGCGUGAGUGAUGAAGGCCGUAGGGUUGUAAAGCUCUUUUACCCGGGAUGAUAAUGACAGUACCGGGAGAAUAAGCUCCGGCUAACUCCGUG